GAAUACUCAUUGACCUGUUAAAACAAAGUAAACCCCCAACAACAACUCAACCACUACCAUGGCUUCUCUGUUGCAUCUCCUCUUCUUCCUCUUCCUUCAACCUCUCUUCUCCAUUGCCAAUGUCCACAAACUCAACCAACUCAGAUCAGAGCUCAUCUCCCAACCAACACCUCUAAAUGACACCCCACCAACUCUUUACUUUGAAGUAACCAAACCCAUUAAACUACCCAAAACCAAGCCUUGUUCCCAGCUCAUUCUCCAGCAUGACUUUGCCUACACUUAUGGAAAAGCCCCAGUCUUUGCUAACUACCACCCUCCCUCAAAUUGUCCAUCUCAGAACUUCUCCAAGAUUGUUCUUGAAUGGAAAGCUACAAGCAAGGGAAGGCAAUUUGACCGCAUUUUUGGGGUUUGGCUUUCUGGGGUUGAGCUUCUCAGGAGCUGCACCGCAGAGCCGAGGCCUAAUGGGAUUGUCUGGAGGGUUGAGAAGGACAUCACCAGGUACUAUUCAUUACUCCAGAAGAAUCAGACACUUGCUGUUUAUCUUGGCAAUUUGAUUGAUAAAACCUAUACUGGGGUUUACCAUGUCAAUGUUAGUAUUCAUUUUUAUCCUGCUGAAGAGAACUUGAUUGAUCAUGACCAAAAGUUGGCAUCUUGGGCGGAUUUGAUUCUGCCCAUUUCUAGAAAUUUGCCUUUGAAGGAUGGGUUGUGGUUUGAAAUUGAGAAUUCAACUGAUACCAAGUUGAAGGAAUUUGAGAUUCCUCGAAAUGCUUAUAGGGCUGUGUUGGAAGUGUAUGUUUCCUUUCAUGAGAAUGAUGAAUCCUGGUAUGCAAAUCCUACUAAUGAGUACAUUGCUGCAAACAACCUUAGCGUGCCCGGAAAUGGACCCUUUAGGGAGGUUGUGGUCAGUAUAGAUGGUCAUGUUGUUGGUGCUGUGUGGCCUUUUACAGUGAUAUUCACAGGAGGGGUCAAUCCUCUCCUGUGGCGACCCAUUACUGCAAUUGGCUCAUACGAUCUUCCUUCUUAUGACAUCGAAAUCACACCGUUUUUAGGGAACAUAUUGGAUGGGAAGAGCCACAAGAUUGGGUUUAAUGUUACAAAUGCCUUGAAUGUUUGGUACAUAGAUGCAAAUUUGCAUAUUUGGUUGGACAAACAGAGCAGAAGAACUGAGGGACAGCUUGUGAAGCACACAAGCUUGCCCCUUGUUAUUUCACUGGUGUCAGAUUUCAAGGGUUUAAAUGGCACAUUUAUCACAAGGGUGAGCAGGUCUGUCUCAUCAACUGGGUGGGUGAAGUCAUCGAAUGGAAAUAUUACAACCCAGUCAAUUCAAAAUUUUUACUACAGUAAUACAAUGGUCAUGGGGAAUAAUGGUGAUGUGCAGAUAGUGAACCAGAACAUCCAUUUCAAUGACACUGUUCAUAUCAUGACGCCUUCCUCCAUCGUUCACUCACUCUCAUCACACAAAACAUUUCCCCUUUACUUGUACACUGACUACUUGGAACAAAAAAAUAAUACAUAUUUAUUGGUGACAAAUGUCAGUCUGGGAGUUAUUGAGAAGAAAACUGCAAGUGCUGGUUCUCGAUUCAUGAAGAGCUCUCUCAGAAAUUUGCAGAAUGCAGAGGGUCAUAUGGUUGUAAAAGAUAAUUUGGUAGUCAGUGGAGUCGGGAAUACACAGCAAAUGUACAGAUAUCAUGGUGGAAAAUUCUGUUACUUUAGGAAUAUAAGCAGCUCAAACUACACCAUACUUUAUGAUAAGGUUGAGAAUACAUGCAACAACAAACCAAAGUCUAACUGGGAUUUUGGUUUGAGAAGACUGUGGCCUUUUGGUGCUGGAUUUAUUUGAGAACAAUGAGGAAGUUUAGCUUAUUCAUCUUGAUGCAUCUUCUUGUGCUACAUAAAAGUACUCCUUUGCUAAGAUUUUGAAGAGGGUGCCUCCAUCUGUAUGGCGGUACCUCAGAUUCAAAUUUUGCUGGCUGCUUUUGCUUAAAGGUUUAUCUCCAAUAAAGAUCGACAGACACCCUACAACUAUCUGUAAUCUAUUCAAAUAUUUAAGAAUGCUUUAAGUUUUUUGUUAGAAUCUUAGAAUAGGGACUUGGCAUAUCACUCGUUCUAGCGU